rnacentral:rRNA from 1 species
AGAGUUUGAUCCUGGCUCAGAACGAACGCUGGCGGUGCGUCUUAAGCAUGCAAGUCGAACGGGAUUCAGCAGCUUGCUGUUGAUGAGAGUGGCGGACUGGUGAGUAACACGUGGGUGACAUACCCUCCUGACGGGGAUAGCCUUUAGAAAUAAGGGGUAAUACCGGAUACGCACGUACAGGUUAGAGGUGUACGUGGAAAGGGAGCUUCGGCUCCGCGGGAGGAAUGGCUUGCGGCCCAUUAGCUGGUUGGUGUGGUAACGGCGCACCAAGGCGAUGAUGGGUAUCCGGCCUGAGAGGGUGAACGGACACAUUGGGACUGAGAUACGGCCCAGACUCCUACGGGAGGCAGCAGCUAAGAAUAUUCCGCAAUGGACGGAAGUCUGACGGAGCGACACCGCGUGAAUGAAGAAGGCCGGAAGGUUGUAAAGUGCUUUUGAAUGUGAAGAAUAAGCAGGUCAGGUAAUGGGCGUGCGGUGACGGUAGCAUUUGAAUAAGAGGCGGCUAAUUACGUGCCAGCAGCCGCGGUAACACGUAAGCCUCGAGCGUUGUUCGGAAUUAUUGGGCGUAAAGGGUAUGUAGGCGGAGCUGAAAGCCUGUCGUGAAAUGCAGAAGCUUAACUUCUGAGCUGCGAUGGGAACUUCAGUUCUGGAAUCACUGAAGGGCAGCCGGAAUUCCAGGUGUAGGGGUGAAAUCUGUAGAUAUCUGGAAGAACACCGAUGGCGAAGGCAGGCUGCUGGCAGAUGAUUGACGCUGAGGUACGAAAGUGCGGGUAGCGAACAGGAUUAGAUACCCUGGUAGUCCGCACAGUAAACGAUGCACACUAGGUGUAGGGGCAGAAGUCUCUGUGCCGGAGCGAACGUGAUAAGUGUGCCGCCUGGGGAGUAUGCCCGCAAGGGUGAAACUCAAAGGAAUUGACGGGGGCCCGCACAAGCGGUGGAGCAUGUGGUUUAAUUCGAUGGUACGCGAGGAACCUUACCUGGGUUUGACAUAUACGGUGAUUAUCUGGAGACAGGUAAGCGCAGCAAUGCGACCGUAUACAGGUGCUGCAUGGCUGUCGUCAGCUCGUGCCGUGAGGUGUUGGGUUAAGUCCCGCAACGAGCGCGACCCCUACUGCCGGUUACCAGCACGUAAAGGUGGGGACUCAGGCGGAACUGCCGGUGACAAACCGGAGGAAGGUGGGGACGACGUCAAGUCAUCAUGGCCCUUAUGUCCAGGGCUACACACGUGCUACAAUGGUCGAAACAGAGCGAAGCGAAGCGGCGACGCGGAGCAAAACGCAAAAAAGCGGCCGUAGUUCGGAUCGGAGUCUGAAACCCGACUCCGUGAAGUUGGAAUCGCUAGUAAUCGCGCAUCAGCACGGCGCGGUGAAUACGUUCCCGGGCCUUGCACUCACCGCCCGUCA